AGUGAACGCUGGCGGCGUGCUUAACACAUGCAAGUCGAACGAGAACGGGCUAUAGCUUGCUAUAGUUGUCAGCUAAGUGGCGCACGGGUGAGUAAUGUAUAGGUAAUAUGCCUCUUACUAAGGGAUAACAAAUGGAAACGUUUGCUAAUACCUUAUACUCCUUAUUAACAGAAGUUAAUCAGGGAAAGAUUUAUUGGUAAGAGAUUAGCCUGUAUUGUAUCAGUUAGUUGGCGGGGUAAUGGCUUACCAAGACUAUGACACAUAACUGGUUUGAGAGGAUGAUCAGUCACACUGGAACUGAGACACGGUCCAGACUCCUACGGGAGGCAGCAGUGGGGAAUAUUGCACAAUGGACGAAAGUCUGAUGCAGCAACGCCGCGUGGAGGAUGACACAUUUCGGUGCGUAAACUCCUUUUAUAUGAGAAGAUAAUGACGGUAUUAUAUGAAUAAGCACCGGCUAACUCCGUGCCAGCCGCCGCAGUAA
rnacentral:rRNA from 1 species